rnacentral:rRNA from 1 species
GACGAACGCUGGCGGCGUGCCUAAUACAUGCAAGUAGAACGCUGAAGAGAAGAGCUUGCUCUUCUUGGAUGAGUUGCGAACGGGUGAGUAACGCGUAGGUAACCUGCCUGGUAGCGGGGGAUAACUAUUGGAAACGAUAGCUAAUACCGCAUGAUAUUAAUUGUCGCAUGAUAAUUAAUUGAAAGAUGCAAUUGCAUCACUACCAGAUGGACCUGCGUUGUAUUAGCUAGUUGGUGAGGUAACGGCUCACCAAGGCGACGAUACAUAGCCGACCUGAGAGGGUGAUCGGCCACACUGGGACUGAGACACGGCCCAGACUCCUACGGGAGGCAGCAGUAGGGAAUCUUCGGCAAUGGGGGGAACCCUGACCGAGCAACGCCGCGUGAGUGAAGAAGGUUUUCGGAUCGUAAAGCUCUGUUGUAAGAGAAGAACGGGUGUGAGAGUGGAAAGUUCACACU